rnacentral:rRNA from 1 species
UGAACGAUGAAGGCUUUCGGGUCGUAAAGUUCUUUUCUUAGGGAAGAAAAAUGACGGUACCUAAGGAAUAAGCACCGGCUAACUACGUGCCAGCAGCCGCGGUAAUACGUAGGGUGCAAGCGUUAUCCGGAAUCACUGGGCGUAAAGGGUGCGUAGGCGGCCUUGCNAGUCAGAAGUGAAAGGCUACGGCUCAACCGUAGUAAGCUUUUGAAACUGUAAGGCUAGAGUGAAGGAGAGGAAAGUGGAAUUCCUAGUGUAGAGGUGAAAUUCGUAGAUAUUAGGAGGAACACCAAUGGCGAAGGCGACUUUCUGGACUUUAACUGACGCUGAUGCACGAAAGCGUGGGGAGCAAACAGGAUU